AACAAGAUUGCGCAAUGACGAGUUCAAAUUUUGUUCGUUCUGCGCAUCUACGUCACGGUUGACCAACGUACAAUCAGCUGAUUUUCAGUUGCUUGUUUUUCUUUGCGAUAAGAAUGAAUUUUGUAUUCCAGGCAUACAGAAACAUGAAUAUUAUCAAAAGUUAACAUUAAUAUAAGUGAAUAUUAAUAAAAAAUGUCAAUCUGAGCGAAUAUUUUAUAGUGAACAUUUACCUACAUAUUCAUUUCAUUGUAUUUUCGUUGUAUUAUUUAAUUUUGUCUCCUUGCUGUGUUUGUUUCAACUAUAUACAUUUAUGCAAAUAAAAAUGUCUAAAUGACUCUCAGUCUACACCGUCAUGAAACACAGCUACAUCACCUUUCACCACCCCACAUUGGCAGACAAAAUUAUCAUAAACGAACAGCACGCUUCACUCACCACUCACCUUCCACAUCACACCAAUACACUCAAAUAUGACACCACACUAUCAACUAGAACACCACAACUUUCAAAAAAAAAGGGACAUACAACUCCAGCCACCUUCACUUCGCUUAUUGCUUCCGUACGAGCCAACACUCAUGACACUUGCGCAUACCCUUUCGCAGCAUAUUUUCUUCCUUUUUUGUUUCCACGUCCAUCAUCGUUUGUUGAUUCCGCCGCCGAUUGAGGUAUACGAUCAGUUUAUAACGUUUAAGAAUAUUCUGAAAUAAAAUAUAAUUACGAAAUUUACACAUCCAAAAAAACCCUGUGCUGUGCGUUAUUUCUUUUAUAACAAAAAGUGAGUUCGGAAAUAAAAUAGAAUUGUGAAUUUGAAAUCCAAAAACCCGUUCUGUGCGUUGUCUCUUUUAGACUAACAAGUGAGUUUCGGAAAUAAAGGUGAGUUCACCAGUUAAUAAAACAUGGUCCUUCGAGCCUACAGAAAGGCACCUUAAAAAAGAAAACCAAAAAAAAAAAUAAUAAUAAUAAAAUAAUAAUAAUAAAAAUUUUUAAUUAAAUAAAGUGUGGUGAGUAAUACACAUAUUUUUAAAACUAUAAAAGUGGAAAAAAUAUUAGAAAACAGUGGGGUGAAAAAUACCUAAAAAUCAUAAAUAAAAAAAAAUUGUCAUAUUAUAAAGUGUUAGAGGAGUGCAACACAGUUCGGAUAUAUGAACACAUAUACAUAUGUAUGUAUACAUCUAUACAUUGAAGCGAACAAAAACCCAUCAAAAAAAAAAAAGGAAGACUAAACGAAAACAAAAACAACAACAACAGCGGGCGCGAAACUAAAUAAAUCACACCACCGGGCGCGGAUAAUAAAAACAAAGACAACAUACCCAAACGCACUUACAUAAGCACACAGGAUAAUAGGAGCAUACGAAGAGCAGUGGGAUAAGAAGCAUAAGGAAACAAACAUUAGGGCAAGCCACAAAUAAAUACACUCCCCCAAAAUUCCCUUGAUGCGUGAAAGGGUAGAUGCAAACCACUCCGCCAAAGUUUCCGUUGUAGAUAGGAAGUCAAUUAAAGACAAUGUGUUCACAGGACAGAUAACGUAUACCGCUGAAGAUUUAAACCUUUUAAUUCUGGGUAUGCACAGCUCAAGAAACAAAGAAGAUAUUUAAAAAAAAUAUCGGAAAGCUUAUCAAAAUAAAUUAAAUUAUUUAUGAUUAAGAAUAUUUGUAUAAAUAAUAUGCAUAGCAAAUGAUAUUGUUGCUAAACAACUUAUUUUAAUAAAUUUCUGAAUAUAAGUAUAAUCGGUCGCAUCUUUAAGAAACUCUAGUAGUAGUUUCAUACUCGCAGCCAACGCCACUAACAAGAAAAA